UGGACUUUACAGAAUGCCUUGU
rnacentral:miRNA from 1 species